UCUUUUUUGUUUGUUUUUCUCCUUAGUCCUGACACAGUGAUCACUAUCAAAAUUAUAAUUGUUGUCUUUUCAGUUUUCCAGCUGGUGCUGCAUCUUUGAAUACCUGUUUGCACUGGGAGGCAACUAGANCCUGCCAAAAUUUCAGAACUCUGCAUCUUCUCCUUGAGGGCAGACCACUCUCCUAGUGGCCUCCAAAAGCCUAUUUCAGGAUCAAAUCCUUGUAAUGCACUUUGCUAUGCUGUGAAAUAAGAAGACAUGUUUUUUCUCUUCCCCCUCUCCAGAAUUCCUGUCCUUCUCUACCUUUUAGAGUAAGCAGAUCUGCUGCCCAGAAGCAUGUAGGCCUACCUCACAGCACUCACUGUGGGGGGGAAAGCCGCUGCCCUUUGUCUUCCAGGCUAUUCAGAAGUGCCAUUCUUGGGCAAAACAGCCAAAAUAAGAAGAAUGUCUCAAUGCACAAGGAUACCGAGUUGCUCAAGCAUGUGCAAAAAAGAGCAGUGAAGCUGGAGAAGUGACUAAUAAACAAGAUGUAUGAGGAGUGGCUGAGGAUACA
rnacentral:lncRNA from 1 species